rnacentral:rRNA from 1 species
UACAGAGGUCUCAAGCGUUUGUUCGGAUUCAUUGGGCGUAAAGGGUGCGUAGGUGGCGCCAUAAGUCAGGUGUGAAAUCUCGGGGCUUAACUUCGAAACUGCAUUCGAUACUGCCGUGCUUGAGGACUGGAGAGGAGACUGGAAUUUACGGUGUAGCGGUGAAAUGCGUAGAUAUCGGGAGGAACACCAGUGGCGAAGGCGACUUCCUGGACCGGCAUUGACGCUGAGG